GUCAAUGUGGUACAGUGGUUUGUAGGUUGGACUAGGACUCUGGGGGACCAGGGUUCAAAUCUCCAUUGCCA